AUACCUUAAUAUUAAUAACCACUUUAUAUUUGAAAAAGAUAGAAGAAUUUAAUAGAUCUUACAUAGGAUAUGAAUAUGGAAGAACACACAGAUUGACGCAUUUCAAUAAUGCUUGAUAAGAAAGUAAUCAUACAACCCAUUAAAGGUCAAUGAAUAUGGAGCACUUCAUAUUCUAUUAAAAUUUAUAUUUCGCAAGAGAAUCCCAAAUAUUUCUAGAUAUUUUUUAAAGAAAAAUUUAUAUAAAAACUUUAAAAUAUAUAAAAAAUUAUAUAUUUAUAUGCCGGGAUGGUGGGUUUUUUACUCAAUACCAAACCAAAUCAAACCAAACUAAGUCUGAUUUUUAAAUCGAUUUUGUUUGACUUUUUGGUUUUGUGCGAUUUUUUGGUUCAUAAACGAUUUUCUUUCACUUGCAGCUUGUGAACAUUUUGGUAGGAGAUGCAAAGCAAAUAUUCCAUAAAAUAAUUCUAACUAAUUUGAUCUACAAUAUCAUCACCACUGUCGUGUGCAUGCAAAUGACGUGUUUCAUGUUGAUGUAGGCCUUGUGACGUUUCUUUGAUAAAAUACCACCCUUUUAAUUGUCCAGAAGUUACUGAGUCAAAAAGGUGGAUGGUUGAUGUUGAAGGAGUAUCUGUUCCAUUGAGGUUUGUGUGGCUCCAUAUUGCGCACGAGUAUUUGCAACGCGGUUCUGCUCCCUGUAUGUAUACUUGAUAGUUAGAUUACCUAGAUGCCAAAGUAAGUACCUACAUUCCAUUAAAAUUGAUGAGUAAUGUAAAUUGUGAUAAAUUAGCAUCGAGAUUACCUUUGUAGAAUCCACAUUUAUUUAUACUGGAGUGAAGUGGUGAUGCCAUGCUAAUCGUAAUCCCUGUAAUAAGGCAGAUAGUUCCAUAUAUGUAGAGUUUCAUGUGGGUCGUGUUCCCGUGAAUCCAAGUAACCAAUGAUCCAUAUCAUUUAUGAAAAUACCAUUUAUGCCAUUGUGGGGUGGAUGGCCCUUAGAGGAUCUAUCAGUGUUUAAUUUAAUAGUACUGAGUGUAGGAGGGUACCACUCGACAUACAUGAUGUGGUUGUUGAUUUUUGCAAUUGAUUUUGAAUAAUAUAGUGAUAUUCAGCUACUUGUGAAAUCAAAUGCUGGAUAAGGUUCCAGAUAGUCCAUGUCGUAUAUGAAAUUAAUAA
rnacentral:lncRNA from 1 species